GAUGAACGCUGGCGGCGUGCCUAAUACAUGCAAGUCGAGCGAACAGAUGAGGAGCUUGCUCCUCUGACGUUAGCGGCGGACGGGUGAGUAACACGUGGAUAACCUACCUAUAAGACUGGGAUAACUUCGGGAAACCGGAGCUAAUACCGGAUAAUAUAUUGAACCGCAUGGUUCAAUAGUGAACGACGGUUUUGCUGUCACUUAUAGAUGGAUCCGCGCCGCAUUAGCUAGUUGGUAAGGUAACGGCUUACCAAGGCAACGAUGCGUAGCCGACCUGAGAGGGUGAUCGGCCACACUGGAACUGAGACACGGUCCAGACUCCUACGGGAGGCAGCAGUAGGGAAUCUUCCGCAAUGGGCGAAAGCCUGACGGAGCAACGCCGCGUGAGUGAUGAAGGUCUUCGGAUCGUAAAACUCUGUUAUUAGGGAAGAACAAAUGUGUAAGUAAAUAUGCACGUCUUGACGGUACCUAAUCAGAAAGCCACGGCUAACUACGUG
rnacentral:rRNA from 1 species